CCCUUAGAUGUUCUGGGCCGCACGCGCGCUACACUGAUGCAUGCAACGAGUUCUAUCCUUGGCCGGAAGGCCUGGGUAAUCUGUGAACGUGCAUCGUGAUAGGGAUAGAUUAUUGCAAUUAUUAAUCUUGAACGAGGAAUUCCUAGUAAACGCAAGUCAUCAGCUUGCAUUGAUUACGUCCCUGCCCUUUGUACACACCGCCCGUCGCACCUACCGAUCGAAGGUAAUGAUGAGCCCUCAGGAUUGUGGCCUCGUUGCGUCAGCGUCUUGGCUGCGAGAAUCUGUGCAAAUCCCUACCUUUAGAGGAAGGUGAAGUCGUAACA
rnacentral:rRNA from 1 species